ACUCCUACGGGAGGCAGCAGUGGGGAAUUUUGGACAAUGGGCGAAAGCCUGAUCCAGCAAUGCCGCGUGAGUGAAGAAGGCCUUCGGGUUGUAAAGCUCUUUUGUCAGGGAAGAAACGGUGAGAGCUAAUAUCUCUUGCUAAUGACGGUACCUGAAGAAUAAGCACCGGCUAACUACGUGCCAGCAGCCGCGGUAAUACGUAGGGUGCAAGCGUUAAUCGGAAUUACUGGGCGUAAAGCGUGCGCAGGCGGUUUUGUAAGUCUGAUGUGAAAUCCCCGGGCUCAACCUGGGAAUUGCAUUGGAGACUGCAAGGCUAGAAUCUGGCAGAGGGGGGUAGAAUUCCACGUGUAGCAGUGAAAUGCGUAGAUAUGUGGAGGAACACCGAUGGCGAAGGCAGCCCCCUGGGUCAAGAUUGACGCUCAUGCACGAAAGCGUGGGGAGCAAACAGGAUUAGAAACCCCGGUAGUCCC
rnacentral:rRNA from 1 species